rnacentral:rRNA from 1 species
UACAGAGGGGGCAAGCGUUGUUCGGAAUUACUGGGCGUAAAGGGCGCGUAGGCGGCCUUCUAAGUCGAACGUGAAAUCCCCGGGCUCAACCCGGGAACUGCGUCCGAUACUGGAAGGCUUGAAUCCGGGAGAGGGAUGCGGAAUUCCAGGUGUAGCGGUGAAAUGCGUAGAUAUCUGGAGGAACACCGGUGGCGAAGGCGGCAUCCUGGACCGGUAUUGACGCGUGAGGCGCGAAAGCCAGGGGAGCAAACGGG